GAAGUUAGCGGCGGACGGGUUAGUAACACGUGGGUAACCUGCCCAUAAGACUGGGAUAACUCCGGGAAACCGGGGCUAAUACCGGAUAACAUUUUGAACCGCAUGGUUCGAAAUUGAAAGGCGGCUUCGGCUGUCACUUAUGGAUGGACCCGCGUCGCAUUAGCUAGUUGGUGAGGUAACGGCUCACCAAGGCAACGAUGCGUAGCCGACCUGAGAGGGUGAUCGGCCACACUGGGACUGAGACACGGCCCAGACUCCUACGGGAGGCAGCAGUAGGGAAUCUUCCGCAAUGGACGAAAGUCUGACGGAGCAACGCCGCGUGAGUGAUGAAGGCUUUCGGGUCGUAAAACUCUGUUGUUAGGGAAGAACAAGUGCUAGUUGAAUAAGCUGGCACCUUGACGGUACCUAACCAGAAAGCCACGGCUAACUACGUGCCAGCAGCCGCGGUAAUACGUAGGUGGCAAGCGUUAUCCGGAAUUAUUGGGCGUAAAGCGCGCGCAGGUGGUUUCUUAAGUCUGAUGUGAAAGCCCACGGCUCAACCGUGGAGGGUCAUUGGAAACUGGGAGACUUGAGUGCAGAAGAGGAAAGUGGAAUUCCAUGUGUAGCGGUGAAAUGCGUAGAGAUAUGGAGGAACACCAGUGGCGAAGGCGACUUUCUGGUCUGUAACUGACA
rnacentral:rRNA from 2 species